rnacentral:rRNA from 1 species
GACGAACGCUGGCGGCGUGCUUAACACAUGCAAGUCGAACGGAAAGGCCCUGCUUUUGUGGGGUGCUCGAGUGGCGAACGGGUGAGUAACACGUGAGUAACCUGCCCUUGACUUUGGGAUAACUUCAGGAAACUGGGGCUAAUACCGGAUAGGAGCUCCUGCUGCAUGGUGGGGGUUGGAAAGUUUCGGCGGUUGGGGAUGGACUCGCGGCUUAUCAGCUUGUUGGUGGGGUAGUGGCUUACCAAGGCUUUGACGGCUAGCCGGCCUGAGAGGGGGACCGGCCACAUUGGGACUGAGAUACGGCCCAGACUCCAACGGGAGGCAGCAGGGGGGAAUAUUGCACAAUGGGCGGAAGCCUGUGGCAGCAACGCCGCGUGCGGGAUGACGGCCUUCGGGUUGAAAACCGCUUUCGCCGGUGACGAAGCGUGAGUGACGGUAAUGGGUAAAGAAGCACCGGCUAACUACGUG